rnacentral:rRNA from 1 species
CAGCCGCCACGGGAAUACGGAGGGUGCAAGCGUUAUCCGGAUUUAUUGGGUUUAAAGGGUCCGUAGGCGGAUCUGUAAGUCAGUGGUGAAAUCUCACAGCUUAACUGUGAAACUGCCAUUGAUACUGCAGGUCUUGAGUAAAUUUGAAGUGGCUGGAAUAAGUAGUGUAGCGGUGAAAUGCAUAGAUAUUACUUAGAACACCAAUUGCGAAGGCAGGUCACUAAGAUUUAACUGACGCUGAUGGACGAAAGCGUGGGGAGCGAACAGGAUUAGAUACCCCGGUAGUCCCUGUCUCUUAUAC